rnacentral:rRNA from 1 species
AUUGAACGCUGGCGGCAGGCUUAACACAUGCAAGUCGAGCGGAGAUGAGGUGCUUGCACCUUAUCUUAGCGGCGGACGGGUGAGUAAUGCUUAGGAAUCUGCCUAUUAGUGGGGGACAACAUUCCGAAAGGAAUGCUAAUACCGCAUACGUCCUACGGGAGAAAGCAGGGGAUCUUCGGACCUUGCGCUAAUAGAUGAGCCUAAGUCGGAAUAGCUAGUUGGUGGGGUAAAGGCCUACCAAGGCGACGAUCUGUAGCGGGUCUGAGAGGAUGAUCCGCCACACUGGGACUGAGACAUGGCCCAGACUCCGACGGGAGGCAUCAGUGGGGAAUAGUGAACAAUGUGGGUAAUCCUGAUCCAGCCAUGCCGCGUGUGUGAAGAAGGCCUUAUGGUUGUAAAGCACUUUAAGCGAGGAGGAGGCUACUGAGACUAAUACUCUUGGAUAGUGGACGUUACUCGCAGAAUAAGCACCGGCUAACUCUGUGCCAGCCGCCGCCGUAA